GAAAAGUGAAAAGGCAGGUUUUGGAAGACAGAAGCCGUUCCCAAUAUUGGCUGUCACUGCCAUCGAAUACAAGAAGAUCGAUCCCGAACUCAGAAACUCUUCCACAACGACCUCGCUUUUCCGGCAACCGCCAAGAAAUCUCCAACGCUCCUCUCCUUUCCGAUUCUGAUCAAGAAAUCAGAAAAAGAGAAUUCAAAUAUGGAAAAAGACUCAUCUCGACCCACACGGCGGCAGAGAUUCGCGGUGGACGACGGCGCCGAUCUAAUAGACUGCUCCGGCAAGCAAUGCCAGUCGUGCACCACCGGCUUGGUUGCGGACUGCGUCGCCAUCUGGUUAUGCCCAUGCUCGGUUGUCAGCUUCUUGGCUCUGGCUCUCGUCAAACUUCCGUGGAUGAUCGGGCGGCGGUGUCUGCAGCAGAGAAGGCAGAAGAGGAAAUUGAUUGGGCGGAGAGGAGAACGCGAGGGCGGUGGUGUGGCGGCGGAGAGUGGUGGGGGUGCGGCUAGUGAGGAGGGGCUGCCGCCGUGGUUCGGAGAGGAAGAAGCAGGGAUGGGGAAUUUGAGUGCGAGGUUUGAAGCAGAGAGAAUUUGGGUGCAGUUGCAUCAGACAAGAAAUAAGAACGGAAUCCAGGCUACCAUUGAGCAUCGAGACUCGAGAGAUAGAGAUCGUAUGAGGAAAGAGCUUCUUGCGAAGAAUCGACUACAGAGACAACGAUGGAGGAUCAACCGACUCGAAUAAUGCUUGCAGUGAAUCAGUCAACCAUCAAUGGCUAUCCGCAUGCAUCCAUAAGCUGUAGAAGGGCCUUCGAAUGGACUCUCCAGAAGAUCGUCCGCUCCAACACCUCUGGUUUCCACUUGCUCUUCCUCCAUGUCCAAGUUCCUGACGAAGACGGUUUUGAUGGCUCAGAUAGUAUCUCUGCGUCCUCUGAUGAUUUUAAAGACCAGAACCCUAGGUACAAUUCAAGAGGGCUUCAACUACUGGAAUUCUUUGUCACGAGAUGUCAUGAACUUGGGGUCACUUGCGAAUCUUGGCUUAAGAAAGGCGAUCCAACUGAAGUAAUUUGCCUAGAGGCGAAACGCGUGCAACCUGAUUUUCUAGUUCUGGGAAGCAGGGGGCUUGGCCCGUUCAAGAAGGUUUUUGUGGGCACUGUAAGUGAGUUCUGUGCAAAACAUGCCGAGUGCCCUGUCAUUACAAUCAAACGCAGGGAGGACGAGACGCCCGAAGAUCCCAUCGAUGACUGAGUUUUCAGCCAGUAAAACUCACGGCCUCUUUGAUUUCCCUUCAUCAUGUUUAUAAAUAAGAAACUUUUGCAUACAGCCAUUAUUUUGUUCAUUUGAUUGAUGACUCAUUUGGGAUUUGGUAACAUCCUUUCCAUAUCCAAUGAAGGAAGAAGAAGAACAAGGGCAACAAUUUGGUGAAUAGAAGCAGAAAAUAAGCAUGGCUUCACAG